CUUAAUCUGAGCAGGGUUAGCCGGACCCUAAGGCGAGGCCGAAAGGCGUAGUCGAUGGGAAUCACGUUAAUAUUCGUGAGCCUGUGGGUAGUGACGGAUCGCGUAAGUCGUCCAAUCUUAUCGGAUUGAACGGGCGGCGAAGCGGUUCCAGUAAAUAGCUCCCACGUAUAGUCCGUACCCGAAACCGACACUGGUGGUCUGGUAGAGUAUACCAAGGCGCUUGAGAGAACUAUGCUGAAGGAACUCGGCAAAUUGCACGCGUAACUUCGGAAGAAGCGUGACCCCUUCGUACGCAAGUAUGGGGGGGUGGCACAGACCAGGGGGUAGCGACUGUUUAUCAAAAACACAGGGCUCUGCGAAGCCGCAAGGCGACGUAUAGGGUCUGACGCCUGCCCGGUGCUGGAAGGUUAAGAGGAGGGGUGCAAGCUCUGAAUCGAAGCCCCAGUAAACGGCGGCCGUAACGAUAACGGUCCUAAGGUAGCGAAAUUCCUUGCCGGGUAAGUUCCGACCUGCACGAAUGGCGUAACGACUUCCCCGCUGUCUCCAGCAUAGACUCAGUGAAAUUGAAUUCCCCGUGAAGAUGCGGGGUUCCUGCGGUUAGACGGAAAGACCCCGUGCACCUUUACUAUAGCUUUACAUUGGCAUUCGUAGUGGCAUGUGUAGGAUAGGUGGUAGGCUUUGAAGCAGGGACGCCAGUCUCUGUGGAGCCACCCUUGAAAUACCACCCUUAUCUCUAUGGAUGUCUAACCGCGGCCCGUUAUCCGGGUCCGGGACAAUGUAUGGUGGUAGUUUGACUGGGGCGGUCGCCUCCUAAAGAGUAACGGAGGCGCGCGAUGGUGGGCUCAGAACGGUCGGAAAUCGUUCGCUGAGUGCAAUGGCAUAAGCCUGCCUGACUGCGAGACUGACAAGUCGAGCAGAGACGAAAGUCGGUCAUAGUGAUCCGGUGGUCCCGUGUGGAAGGGCCAUCGCUCAACGGAUAAAAGGUACGCCGGGGAUAACAGGCUGAUGACCCCCAAGAGUCCAUAUCGACGGGGUUGUUUGGCACCUCGAUGUCGACUCAUCGCAUCCUGGGGCUGGAGCAGGUCCCAAGGGUAUGGCUGUUCGCCAUUUAAAGCGGUACGUGAGUUGGGUUCAGAACGUCGUGAGACAGUUCGGUCCCUAUCUGCCGUGGGUGUAGGAAUAUUGAAAGGAUCUGUCCCUAGUACGAGAGGACCGGGAUGGACGGAUCUCUGGUGGACCUGUUGUGGCGCCAGCCGCAUAGCAGGGUAGCUAUAUCCGGACGGGAUAACCGCUGAAGGCAUCUAAGCGGGGAACCCACCUUAAAACGAGUAUUCCCUGAGAGCCGUGGAAGACGACCACGUUGAUAGGCCGGGUGUGGAAGAGCGGCAACGCUUGAAGCUUACCGGUACUAAUAGCUCU
rnacentral:rRNA from 1 species